GGGAAUAGCUCAGUGGUAGAGCUCCACCUUGCCAAGGUGGAAGUCGCGGGUUCGAGUCCCGUUUCCC
rnacentral:tRNA from 1 species